AAGUAUGUAACUAUAUAAACAUAUGGUCCACAAAUUUUACGUACAUGUUGAGAAAAGUAGAAGACCGAUAAAUAUCGAAGCUGCUUU
rnacentral:snoRNA from 1 species